UACGUAGGGACCGAGCGUUGUCCGGAUUUACUGGGCGUAAAGGGCGUGCAGGCGGUUUGUUAAGUGCAGGGUGAAAGCUCCCGGCUCAACUGGGAGAGGUCCUUGCAUACUGGCAAACUCGAGGGAGGCAGAGGAAAGUGGAAUUCCCGGUGUAGUGGUGAUAUGCGUAGAUAUCGGGAGGAACACCUGUGGCGAAGGCGGCUUUCUGGGCCUUACCUGACGCGUGAGA
rnacentral:rRNA from 1 species